rnacentral:rRNA from 1 species
GACGAACGCUGGCGGCGUGCCUAAUACAUGCAAGUCGAGCGGACCACUUCGGUGGUCAGCGGCGGACGGGUGAGUAACACGUGGGCAACCUGCCUGUAAGACUGGGAUAACACCGGGAAACCGGUGCUAAUACCGGAUAAUCCUUUCCUUCACAUGAAGGAAAGCUGAAAGACGGUUUCGGCUGUCACUUACAGAUGGGCCCGCGGCGCAUUAGCUAGUUGGUGAGGUAACGGCUCACCAAGGCGACGAUGCGUAGCCGACCUGAGAGGGUGAUCGGCCACAAUGGGACUGAGACACGGCCCAGACUCCUACGGGAGGCAGCAGUAGGGAAUCUUCCGCAAUGGACGAAAGUCUGACGGAGCAACGCCGCGUGAGCGAUGAAGGCCUUCGGGUCGUAAAGCUCUGUUGUCAGAGAAGAACAAGUACCGGAGUAACUGCCGGUACCUUGACGGUACCUGACCAGAAAGCCACGGCUAACUACGUGCCAGCCGCCGCGGUAAGAC